rnacentral:rRNA from 1 species
CCUACGGGAGGCAGCAGUGGGGAAUAUUGCACAAUGGGGGAAACCCUGAUGCAGCGACGCCGCGUGAGUGAAGAAGUAAUUCGUUAUGUAAAGCUCUAUCAGCAGGGAAGAAAAUGACGGUACCUGAGUAAGAAGCACCGGCUAACUACGUGCCAGCAGCCGCGGUAAUACGUAGGGGGCAAGCGUUAUCCGGAUUUACUGGGUGUAAAGGGAGCGUAGACGGCAGUGCAAGUCUGGAGUGAAAGGCGGGGGCUCAACCCCCGGACUGCUCUGGAAACUGUACGGCUGGAGUGCAGGAGAGGUAAGUGGAAUUCCUAGUGUAGCGGUGAAAUGCGGAGAUAUUAGGAGGAACACCAGUGGCGAAGGCGGCUUACUGGACUGUAACUGACGUUGAGGCUCGAAAGCGUGGGGAGCAAACAGGAUUAGAUACCCCUGUAGUC